rnacentral:lncRNA from 1 species
UACUAACCAUUUUAUGGGUACAGUUGAACCCCGUUAAGUAUAUUCACCAUCACCCACUGUGACACCAUCCCCCACCGUUCAUCUCCAGAACUUUUCUCGUCUUGCAGAACUGAAGCAGUAACUCCCCCCUCCCAGCCCCUGCCAGCCACCCUUCUACUUUCCAUCUCUAUGAAGUUGAUGAUUCUCAAGCAGCUUAUAUAAAAAUUAUACGGUAUUUGUCCUUUUGUAACUGGUUUAUGUAUACUGCGGCCAUCCAUGUUUGGAAUAAGAAUUACAUUUAAUUCUGCAAGGUCAGUGGAAAAAAUGGAUGCGUUUUUACUGUCUGAGCUUUGUCAAGUCACAUUCCUUGAUGGACUUAAGAAUUGCUAUCUUGGGAGUUCCCGUUGUGGCUCAGCAGGUUAAGAACCUAAUAUGGUGUCCACAAGAAAGUGGGUUCUAUCCCUGGCUUUGCUCUGCAGGUUAAGGAUCCAGCAUUACUGCAACCUGCAGCGUGGGGCAUAGAUGCAGCUCAGAUCCACUGUGGCUGUGGUGUAGGCCUCAGCUGCAGCUCUGAUUUGACCCCCUAGCCUGGAAAUUGCCAUGUGUGGCAGGUGUGGACAUAAAAAGAAAAAAAAAAAAGAGUUGUUAUCUGUGGGCACUUGAGAACUUGGGACUGGUUAACACACUUGCCUUGGUCCAUUAGGUGGUAAAAUGUAGUGUUAGGAUCAGGCUCGCUCAGAACUCGCUUCUCCACUCCUGGGCCUGGGGAUCAUUGGAGUGUCCUGAGAUUUUAGAGGACUUGAGGCCCAACACCUGCCUACAAGCAUGGUGGGUGAUGGCCAGUCUUGCUUGACUUGAGUUGGGUGAUGAACGUGUGGCUUGUUUUCACCAGAUUCAGGUACGUGCUAAGGGAGAUUGAGCAAACUGUGAGCAUCCGGGCCAGUCUCAUUACCGCCACCAGCUUCUCCUUCCCAGUCUUCAGUCCCCUAAAAUCACCCCAUCUAAGUCUCAUCAGAUAAAACAAUUGAGUAAAUGUGGAUUUCUUGAGCACCUCCGUAUUAGUAACCUGCUCACUGCCACUAACCUGCUCAUUUUUUUUAAAUUCAUGUAGUUUUAUUUUAUCUUUACUUUUUUUCCAUUAUAUGUAUUUUUAAUUGCCAUUCAUUCUUCACCUCUUUCAGUUGUGGAGGGAAUGGGAACUCAGGCAUGUGCCAGACACGUUGUUCUUUAAAGUUCUGGAUACAUUUGCGAUGCCAUGCGAAUAUGUAUUGAUUUUUAUUGCACAGACUAUAUUGACAUAAUGCAAAAUUAAACAGACUCUUCGUACUGGGUGGAAGCUCAGGGUGGUGGUUCUUCCAUCCAGAGGCAACGUGUGAGCUCUGUUAAAUAUUUAAUAAAUCAUCAAUAACUAUUUAUUUUGAUAUUAAUCAGUGUGAUGUCUCUCUGGAAGCCAAAUGUAGGUUUGUGCUCCCCAGGUGGCCGAGAGAGAUUUGGGAAACCCUCGGAGUCUCUUCCUCCCUCAUGUGGGCCAUACACCUCCCCCGCCCAGCUUCACCACCCCCCCACCAGCCAGCAUCAGCACCAGCAAAGCUGAGAGAUGGCAGAUGCCAGGCGGAGCUGCAGUGUCUGCCCUUCAUAGCCCUGCCAGCUCCCAAACUUUAAUUCUGCGCAUGUGAAUCACCCGGCGUCUUGUUAACAUGCAGAUUAUGAAUCCUUAGGUCUGGAGUGGAACUGAGGUUAUGCAUUUCUAACAAGCUCCUGGGUGAUGCUGCUGCUGCCAGUCCGUGGACCACUCUGCACAGCGAGGCUCCUGGGAACCAGGGCUAUGGAAGAAGCAGGCCAGGCUGGGUUCAGGGCGGUGAGCAUCCAGGGCACAGUGUAAGGAGGUGGUCACCCUCCCAGAAAUCUGGGCGCACCUAGGGCGACCCCUCCUCUCUACACAUGCAAGUGCAGGCUGCCUUCACCCCCAGGGCCAGCACUUCCUUACAUCUUGUGACUUGCUCCCACCCCUUCAAGAGGCCAGCCCCCACCUGGACAUCCCGGGCGUAUACCUCAUACUCACUGAUGCCCUCUCUUGCUUUGGCCCCCUCACCAAGGAUGUGCUUGACGCCGAUGAUUUUCCUCCCUGUAGCCCCUACCCCCACCCCAGCUGCACACUCUUGCACCUGCAACUUUGGCAGGUGGCUGCACGGGCCCUGCCGCAGCUCGCUGCCUCUGAGGUCUCCCAAGUGAGUGGUGUUCCUCACAGAGGCCUGGUCCUCCCGCAGUCGCGUCCCGUGCCUUUGAAGACAGGUGUGGGCGUGUGACAGGUGUUCUGCAGUGGAACGUGGCAGAAGGGACAUGUCCUGUCCCAUGUGGGAGCUGUAAGGGCAGAUGGUGAUUCUUCACGUCCUCCUCCUUCGAGGCGGGGUGACCGCAGGAGCAGGGGUGAGACGGAGGCUCCCAGAGUGAUUUUCGGGAGCACCGCCUCUGGCCGCCUCACUUGGGCACGUGCGGAUGAGAAGCGAACAGCUGUGCUGUUUCACCUGGAAGAUCCCCCUGGUUGGGUGUGACUGCAGCGGGGCCCCGCCUCCCCCAGUGAUGCUGCCCAGCUGGGUGCAGGUUACCUGUUCUCUGCCUUGUAGAUUUAAGUUGCUGAUUGCUCUGCUCAGGCUUUUCCCCCAAGUGUCUUACCUUCGGACUGCUUUGGGCUUGAGUUUCCUCCUGCAGCAUCUGGACUCCUCCUCCAGGCCUUCCCCAAAGUGUUUUUGGAGAGGUUCUUCAGGCCAAGUCUGUUCUCAAUGUCCCUCUUCCUGAAAAGGUCCCCUAUUCUUAGUUUUCCAGCAAGCCCCUCUUGCCAUCGCCUUGAGAAAAGACAGUAUCAGUGAAUGGAGUUGGGAUUCCAUUGCAAGAUGUCCGUUGUCAAUCAGGGGGCUCUCUCCUUGUCAACACAGAGAGAAAUAUUCCGUGGUAUUUCAUACCACCUGCCAUUUCCCUACCUGGAUGGUCCAUGUUCAUUUACCUGGGCUUCUCUUGUGAGGCACCCAGUUGACAGCGUCUCUACGUCAUAAACAUUACUGCAUCCUUGUAUGUCCACCUGUCCUGACACCAGAUUCCUGGAGCGUGUUUGCUGAGUCCAGUAAUGCCGGUGUCUCCUGGGAGAGCCACGGUGCCCAGAGCUAGCUGCCCUCUUCGCCGGGGCACCCCCCACACUCCCUCCAUCAACAAACAUUUCAGUGUUGGUGAACUAAUGUCUCAGGUAUAUGGUUACAUAUUUGUGUGCAGAAAGACCCUCAGAAUCCCUCCAGCGAAGCAUCAUUUAUGCCCCAUCAUUGUCUUUUUCAACCAGUAAAUAUCAAGAUACAGGAGAGCUUUUUACCAUCUUUUCCAUGAUUUGUUUGGAGACCACUCCCUGCAGAGCAUGAAUUAGAGGGGUAACAGGAGAGGCAGGAAGAGGCGGCCCGGAUGAUCAGAGAUGGUGGGCACCGAGGUGGGCUCAGCUGGGGCAGGGGGGCGGGUCCUUCUUUACAGUUGCUGCCAAGAAGCUGGGACAGGCAGACAGGAGCCCUCUCCCCAGCUGUGAAUGCGCAUUGGGAAAUUCAGGAGAAAGCCCUUCUAGCGGGUGGGGUAGGUGUGGGUGGCGGGGAGUGGGGAGACCUGGAGAUGGAAUGAGAGCUGAGAAACGUCCUUUGGGGGAGGGGCUCCACCCCAGCAGCUUUGUCCUCCUCAGUCAGCCACCUGCUCUGCCAGGAUGGUUGGGAAUGGGGGGCGUCCCUGGUGCCUUCUCCACCUGCUACCCCAGCCCCGUUCCUGCAGCACAUGCGCAGGCCUGGAGCUCACUCCUGCCCUGUGAGCUGCCAAGGAGGAAGUCACAGUAGUUAAUGGUUUUCUAUUGACUUUCCCACAGGUUAAUAGAACCUGCGAAGAGCUGCCACCACAGUGAAAGGUGCUUCAUCCCCAGGCUGUCAGGCUGCACAUACCUCCUGGGCAGCCCUGGCAGGUUGUCCUGUCCUCUUGCAGCUGGUCUGUGACUUGCCCAGGCCUACGCACCCUCCUCUGUGAGCACCCCGCAGCUUCUGAGGCCCUUAGUUCAUAUGCAUGUGUGCACACAUGUCCAUACACAUGUGAGUGCAUGUGUGUGCACGUGCGCCGCCCCCCCCGCCCCCCCGCACACACACACUGCCAGCUGGGGUGUGUGUGUGGGUGUGAGCCCAUCUGAGCCUGUGCUCACAAAGAGAGGGGCAAAGAGAGGGAUCAGGUCAGGGGGGAAAGGAGGGACCCUGCAAAUCGUCAUCAGGUCUAGAACCAAAUGAAGACCUCUCCUCACUCAUUUAUUCCCAGUUUUCCUCCUGGGUCUGGUUUCUGGGGGCUGUUGGUUAGGACUGAAUGGUGUCAGCGUUAAUAACACUAACGGCACAUUCUGUAUACACAGUACAUUUGUUUCAGGAAUGCGUCUCCACCUCUGACAAGCCUGUGUGUCCCUCGAAGCUGAGAGAUUAAAGGAGAGAAUGUGCCCAUUAUACAGAUUAAGAGACGAAGGCCCCCCUGGACACACCAUGCUUUCCUCUUUUCCCAGAAGGUCAUGGAUGAUACUUAGACAUUUGAUCUUUCACUCUCUUAGCGCCCCCCCCCUCAAUAUUUCUGCAGGGACCUUGGCAGGGGGACUGUAGGUCCAGAGCAGCACUGCCCAGUAGAACUUUCUGCAAUGACAGACGUACGGUACCCCACCUGUACUUGUAUGGCAGUCCUAUCCAGCAUGGCAGCACCCACCCCAGGUGUUUCUUGAGCACUUGAAACACGGUGCAGCCGAGGGCCUGCAUUUCUAAUUUUACUUCAAUUUAACUAAUUUAAAUUAAGAUAGCCCCAUGUGGCCUGUGGCUGCCAUACUGGACCAGAUGGAGUGUAUACAGGAAAGAGCACUUGGGAAGGCAGAAUUCAUGGAGUGCAUGAUAGACGCUCUUUGGUGCCUUUUGGUCUGUGAUCCCUUCACAGGAGCCAGUUGGGAAGGAGAAGGGGCGGGGAGCUGUGACCACCCAGGGGUCAUUAAAGGUAUGGAAGCAUCUGCCGGGUCCAGCCCUCCAAGAGAAACUUUCCACGUGGAACAGAGUCUCCCUUAAGGGCCUUGGGAAUACCUUUUUCAGAAAUAGAAGAUUCUUACUCACCUGGUUUGCUAGAAUGCGUAUUUGUUUUCUGCCUUCUGGCAAAUGCAUAGUGAAAUUUCGUUAAGACCUGUCCCACCAAAAUCAGAUUUGAUGAUGUGCCUGUCCUCUUACCAACUUGUAGAACAGGAUCCACGUGGUAAAUUCAUGUUCGGUUCUGGGGUCUUCCAGAAAAAUAGGAAAUCCUAUCUCUGCAGCCCCAGUGCCGUCUCCCCCAGCAGAAAAUGAAACUGGUGUAGCAUGGCCUGCUUCUCUUUUGUCAUAAAUGUCUCAAAACAUCCAGGCAAAGGCCCUGCCCAGUCACACUCAGUGGUUUAUCUCCGGGAUGAUGCAGAAUCUAACCGUACUUCCUCAGGGCCAGCCCUGCCACCACUAGAAGUACAUAAAAAUCCCUGGGGAGCUUUAAAAAUAACCCCAUGGGCCAAUUAAACCAGACUCUGUAGGCACAGCCUGAGAAUGGACAUCUAUCAAAGUCUUGAGCCUGCAGAGUGGAGCACCUGGCUUUCCAUGGUCUUUUUCCCCACCUGCUUUAUUUUGCAUUUAAUUUCCUUGUAAGCCACCCAAGGUCCAUUUAGAAGUAGACUGGUAAACCUUAAAUACACGUCUUCAUCCUUUUCAUUAGAGAAAGUAUACCAGAGUUCCCCUUGUGGCUCCGCAGGUUAAGGACCCACUUGGUAUCCAUGAGCAAGUGGGUUUGAUCCCUGGCCUUGCUCGGUGGAUUAAGGAUCCACCAUUGCUGCAAGUAUAGUUUGCAGAUGCAGCUGGGAUUCUGCGUUGCUGUGGCUGUAGUGUAGGCCGGCAGCUGAAGCUCCAGUUUGACUCCUAGCCUGGGAACUUCCAUAUGCCAUGGG